rnacentral:lncRNA from 1 species
UUUUAAUGGGAAGUAUAACCCUAAAUAUAUUAAAAACCACUGGCCCAGAAGGUCUAUGUUUAUAUUUGUUCUAAAUAGGAUGAUUUUCAUUUUUUAAUAGUAAAACUAAUAUAGUCAUUGUAAAAAUGUCAAACAACGCAGAAAUGUAUUGUAUUCAUUCAUUCACUUAAUAAGUCUCUAUUGAGCACCUAUGCAAGGCAUUGAGAAUACAAUGGUAGGAAAAACAGACUAGGUCUUUGUAUUCAUGAAGCUCACAGAUUAGUGGGGUAUAUACAUUAAUCAAAUAAUCACAUGAGUGUAUGGAUAAUUAUAAUUCCACAUAAAUACAAAGAAGGAAUGGAACACAGGUAUGUAUAUGAGUAUAUUGCUGCAGAUCAAGACAUACUCUGAGGGGCUAAAAAGGGAACAAAGAAAACUUCCCUAAGGAAGUAAAAUUUGAGAGGAAAUAAGGAAAAGUAUAAUUACUAGGCAAAGAGGAUAAUAUAAAUGUCUGGUAAUCAUACAUCCUGCAGAAUGCCAUAGCUAACACAUAUGUGUAAUUGGAAUAAAUCACAGUCCACAAACCCAAGUGUAUAAAACAUCCAGCUUUUAUUUUCUAUAGCAAUACUCAUAAUUUAUAUUUUGUCUUCUCAUCCCAUUGUUGUGCUGAAAUGGAAUCAAUUUAGGAUCUGCUGCAUUUUCCGUGGUGUGUCUAAGAUCAAAGAUGCUUACAAAGCACCUUAGAGUUGUUGGAGGAGGUCCACAUGAUUCUAGUAAUACUGCUCUACAUAAUUCACCAUUUUCAUUCCUUCCUCAGGACCUCUUCAAAUAUUGUAGCUCUCUAUUUUGCUUGUGUCGACCUUGAAUGAUCAAGACUUUCUGUGUUGCUUCCCUGCCUUUGCUAUGCUGAGAUACAGAAAACUUCGUUAGACUCUAUACUAUAUGUCUGGAAGCAAUGUAAAGCAGCAAUGCUUCAGGUAUCUCUUAACAGGUAUGACAUGUCACCUACACAAUUUAAUCCAACAAAACUGUCCAGCGAACUUCCAGUCAACAGCAGACUGAAGUGAGUUGGAAAGCUUCCCCCUUCCCACUCGAAACUCACAGAUGUGAUAGAAUGCUAAAAACAGUAAAUAGUCAAGUUCAUCAUCAUGAAAUGGAAAUCUCCAAGAAACAAAGAAGGAGCUAGCAAGGAGCGGGAGAUAAAGACAGACGGCUAUCGGCUUUAAGAUCUAGAGACCAGGAUUUAAUCCCACCAGCAAAGAUACAUGAGAAGAAAGCUCAUCUUUUAUGUGAGGUCAUGGGUGGAUACAGAGCCCCCUGGGAGCAAUCAAAAUCCAGGCCAGCUCCAUUCAUAGGCCGAAUUCAUAAUCUGUACAUGUGAGAGAAUUCAAGGGACAUACACUAAUAUAAAAAUUAAUCUGGAACUGGUGAAACUUUUAUAGCCUUAGCAGAGACAAAGGCAAGGAGAAAAUUAGGACAUUCAAAUAUAGAUCUCAAUAAAUCACCCAGAAUGCAGCACACAAAGAUAAAACAGUACAAAAUAUGAGAAGCUAGAAGACAUGGCAGAAAAAGGGAAAGUUUCAAAAUAUACCUAGAACGAAGUCCAUAAAGAGAGUCUAGAGAGAAUGAGGAAGGGACAAUAUUUGAAGAGAUAGUGGCGUGAAUUUUUCAACAACUGAUGCUAGACAUGAAUCCUUAAGCAGCAUAAAUAGAAGUAAAGCCAUAGCUUGAUACAUCUUAGGGAAGAGCACCAACUAUACCUAACACUAUAUUUUCAUGUGUUUAGGCUUUGGGAAAUCGAAAAGCCCUUCCAUAAACCUUUCCUGAAACAAGGAAUGGGAAAAUGGAAAAGUAAGAAAUAUUGUGGGAAACAGAAGAACAUAAGUUUAUAAAACAUACUAUUCUGUCAUAUAUGCACAUGUGUAAAUAUUUACAAUCUCUAGUGAAAUGGUAAAUCUUUUUUUAAGAAAAAGUAAGAAACUGUCUUCAAGGAAAGGAGGAUAUAGCACUCUCUUUCCAGGAUUUCAGUCAGAGGGUACGUGACAAUGUUUAACAGUUUUCUGUAUCUGUCAUCCCAUUCCUUCGUAAAUCAUUGCACAUUUUCUUCCUUCUGACUAUUCAGAGGUUUCUCUUGGGGACAUAUACAAAAUGAUCCCAUUGAGAAAUGGUAUCAGCUGUUAGUCAAGCCACAAUCUCUACCCAGCUUAAUCGUCCUGCUUUCUCCUGACACUAAAUUCUGAGGAUAGUUAUUUUAAAGCCACAGCUAAGGUAAUCAACAUACAAUAACAGUAGCUGGAGCAAUGUGCUAAUGUGAAAUAUCAGAGACGGAUGGGCGUGGUGGCUCACAUCUGUAAACUCAGCACUUUGGGAGGCCAAGGUGGGUGGAUCACCUGAGGUCAGGAGUUCGAGACCAGCCUGGCCAACAUGGUGAAACCCCCAUCUCUACUAAAAAUACAAAAAUUAGCUGGGCGUAGUGGCGGGCCCCUGUAAUCCCAGCUACUUGGGAAGCUGAGGCAGGAGAAUCGGUUGAACCUAGGAGGCGGAGGUUGCAGUGAGCUGAGAUCACGCCAUUGCACUCCAGCCUGGGCAACAAGAGAGAAACUUCAUCUCAAAAAAUAAAAAGAAAGAAAAGAAAAAAGAAACAUCAGAGACUUGGAAGGGAUGGGGAAGACAGAUUGAGAGAGUAAGUAAAUUAUGCAUUACAGUCUAAAGAUACUUUCUUAAAAUCUUUAAUCCAUCACUUAGGUAGGCCUCUCUAGGUAUGUCUAAGAAACAGUAUGUGAAGCAAAAUGUUGAUACAGUGAAGAAAUACAGAAUCACAAAAUUGAUUUCAAUCAAUCCCAGUUUUGCCUAUCCCCCAAAAGACCUUCCUUGGAGUUUUCCAUUCUCCAAAUUUCUCCAGUCCCUCGUAGUAUUUCCAUAGGUGACAAUUCAUAUCCAUUGUCUGUGCAUUUCAAAAUUUAUAUUAUUUCUGACUGAAAUAGAACUAUAGAAAGAGUCAAAUAUCAUAUUUAGCAAAAAGCAAUAACAACACUGGAAGAAAUAAAAUUAAAACAGGAAAAAUAAUUUCUGGAAUUGAGAAACAUGAUUUUCAAAUUUAAAAACUCACACUAAAUGAAAGAGAUAAUGUCACUGUUGAAAAUUGAAUAAGCAGCCAAGGUGAUCAGGUGAAAAUUUAAACAAUAAAUGAAAAUGAUGAAGGAAAAGAUAAAUCUUGGAGGACGGAUCCAAAAGGCCCAAUACAUUAAUGAAUUUCUAGGACGAGGAAGAGAAACAGAUGGAAAAGUGAUAGGUAAAGAAAUUGUGAAGAAAAAUUUCUCUAAUCUAAAGAAAAUCUUGAGGUUGAACAAUAAAAAGAUACCCCAAGUUCCAGACACCAUUAGUUUUUAAAAGUUCAAAUGCCUAGAAGUAUCAUUAUAAAAUUCAUAAAUUCCAAUCACAGAGAAUAUUAUAAAAAAGAAGUUACAUAAAAAGGGAAAAUAUCCGACAGGUAAAUUAUUUUUACUUGCCAUCCUGGAGGUAAGAAAACAAGGAAAUAAUCUCCACACACUACUAAAAGGAAAGAGUAGUAACUCCAAAACUGUGUGCCCAACCUAGGUAAUCAUUACAAGUCAAGGUGAAGUAGGAUAUAUUCAAGCAUGCAAAGAUUCAGAGAGAAUACAAUCCAUGUCUAAAUUAUCACAGGUAGCAUUUAUUGAGCACUUAGUACUUGUCAGGUGCUGCUCUAAGCACUUUACAUAUCUUUACAUAUCAGCUCAGCAACCUUAUGAGAUAAUCCAAUUCUUAACUUCAUUUUCACAUAAAGAAAUUUAUAUAGACAGUGAUUUAAAACUCACCCAAGAAAAUACAGCUUUUAAAUAAAUAGCUUCUAACUCAGCCACUGUCAUUCUGAGAUCACAAAUUUAACCACUAUGUAUUGAAUGCUACUUGGACUUUGUAUAAAUGUUUCUAAAGGUUUCCUAUUUUUGGAGUUGGGGGCAGUGGGAAAAUAAGGUGCCUCAGUGGGUGGUAUAAUUAUCUCAUUUGGAUUCAACAGUAGAGAAACAUUGUUUGAUUUUGAGUGCUAGCAUUCAUGGAAUGAAGUGUGUAGAAAAGCAUAGUAAAUUUUCCAAAUUCACAAUAUAAUGAAUGUGUAAGAAUAGAAGUUUGAAUAAACUAAAAAAAAUAAAUUAGAGAAAGGAAAUGGGGGCUCGACAAAAUAAAAUUAAUAGUAAAAAUAAUAGGAACAUAAAACAAAAUGAAGAGAAUAAAAUCAAGGGUAUUAACUGUUGCACUAAAGGUAAAAGGGCACAGACCAUGAUAGUGAAUUAAAAAUCCAACUAUAUGUUCUUUACAAGAAACACACCUACAGCAUAGCAACAAAGAAAUGUUGAAACAGAUCAGUGAGUGAGGAGAUAUCAGGCAUAAGCAAGCAAAAAGAAAACAUGGUUGAAAAUAUUAAUAUAAGCCAAAGGAAGCUCUAAAACACAAUUUAAAUCAUUAUUUGUAUGAAUAAAAAUGGCACAACUAAAGAAAUUAUAAGUAAUACUUUUGUAUGUACCAAACAGCAUUGCAACUAAACAGAUAAAGCAAAAACUGUUAGAAUUACAAGGAGAACUUUAAUACACCUCUAUCGGAAUUUGACCAACCCAUUAGAUGAAAAGAUAAUCAAAGACAUAGAGGAUCUAAAUAAUCAACCAAUGAUAUUAACUCAAUAGAAAGAAAUUUGCAUGAUAUAAGGAGAGAAUGUGCAUCUUUUUUCUUACAUGUAUAAAACUUUUAACAAAUCGAUCAUGUCCUCAAAAACAUAAAAAUACAUUAAUAAAUUCCAAAAAGGAGAGAAUAUAUAGGCAUAUCCUCUUAACAAAAUAAAAUUAGAAAUUAAUAAUAAAAAUGAUCAUAGUAAUUGCCUGAUAAUAUAGCAAUAUUCUCCAAAAUAACCCCUACGUCAAAAAGAAAAUUAAAAAUAAAAUUGCAAGUUAUAUGGAAAGCAAAGAAAAAGAGAACACAUCAUAUCAAACUGUACUGUGGCAUGGCUGAAGAUAUACCCAGAGAAAAACCCAUAGUCAUAAUUACCAUUAUUAUUCAAUAAAACCAUAAAUAAAAGAAAUACACACUCUUCUUGAAGAAAUUCAAAAGCACGAGAGAAAUAAUCCAAAGGCAGUAGAAGAAAUUAGUAAAAUUAAAGUUUAAGAUAAUGACCAAAAAAGCCAAUUGUAAAAGUGAUAAAUAGUGCUCGCUUCGGCAGCACAUAUACUAAAAUUGUAACGAUACAGAGAAGAUUAGCAUGGCCCCCGCGCAAGGAUGACACGCAAAUUCGUGAAGCAUUCCAUAUAUUUUUGAACAAUGAGAACACAUGGACACAGGGAAGGGAACAUCACACCGGGUCCUGUUAGUGGGUGGGUGGCUAGGGGAGGGAUAACAUCAGGAGAAAUACCUAAUGUAGGUGACAGGUUGAUGGGUGCAGCAAACCACCAUGGCACGUGUAUACCUAUGAAACAAAACUGCAGAUUCUGCACAUGUAACCCAGAACUUAAAGUGUAAUUUAAAAAGUGAUAAAAAGUUGGUUUUUUUUAAAUCACCAAUAAAAUACAUAAACAUCAUGAGUAUGACUAAGAAAACACAGGGAAAGCAAAAGCAUACAAAUUAUGAUUAAAGGGUUGAACCACACAAAUAGAUGUGAUUAUUAUAAAUCACAUGAGUAAUUUAUUAUUAUAUUAUAAUUAUUAUUAUUAUAAUUUUACACACAAACAUAUGACAUCAAAAUUGAAAAUCUAAAGAUAACAUAUAAUUUCCUAAUAGAAUAGAAGUUACCAACAUUAACUCAAGAAAUAGAAAAUUUGACUAGAACAAUUACUACAGAUGAGAUCGGAAAUGUGUUUGUAGAUUUACCAUUGUAAAACAAACCAAAAGUUUUGCAGUUGGGUUCUAACUAACCUUUAAGGAAAAGAUAAUACCAAUGUUAUCUAAACUCUACCAGAAAACAGGAAAAAAUGGAAAGUUCACUAAUGAUUUUAUAAAGCUAGCAAAGCUGAGACCAAAAUCUGUUAAAGAUAGUACAUAAAAAGGUAACUAUAAGCAGUUAUCAAUGAUAAACAUAAAAAAAAUAAAAUAUUAACAAACUCUAAAAUAUGUAGACAAACAGAUCUCAGAAGUAUAGCAAGAAAAAAACUGUACUAUUACCUGAUAGGGAUAGAUCCACAAAGGCAAAAAUAAAUAGUCAAACACCAAAUUCUUUUUUGUUUUUUGUUUUGUUUUGUUUUUGUUUUUGAGACAGGUCUCACUCUGUCACCCAAGCUAGAGUUCAAUGGCACAAUCACGGCUCACUGUAGCCUCGACCUCUCAGGCUCAGGUGAUCCUCCCACCUCGGCUUCCCAGAUAGCUGGGACUACAGGCUGAAUUCUCUUUUCUAAAAAAGUUUUUUUUCUAUGUGCGUUUUGAGACAGAUAGUGUCUUUUUUCCCCCAGGAAUUCUAUCAAUAUAAUUAAUUACAUAAAAUAUUUGGGAAGGCCGAGGUGAGUGGAUCACCUGAGGUCAGGAGUUCAAGGCCAGCCUGACCAACAUGGAGAAACCCCAUCUCUACUAAAAAUACAAAAUUAGCUGGGCGUGGUGGUGCAUGCCUGUAAUCCCAGCUACUUGGGAGGCUGAGGCAAGAGAAUUGCUUGAACCCGAGAGGUGGAGGUUGCCGUGAGCUGGGAUCGCACCAUUGUACUCCAUCCUGGGUGACAAAAGCGAAGCUCUGUCUCAAAAAAAAAAAAAAAAUUAAAGGAGAAAAAGUGCAUGAUUCUGUUAAUAGAUGUUGAAAAGCCACUAGGGAAAAAAUCAGCAGCUAAUCCUAACAGACACUAAUAGAAAUAGAAGGGGAUGACUUAAAUAUUAAAAGCACUUUUUACCAACAAUCAACAGCAAUCCUCAUUCAGACCAUGAAAUGCCAAAGUAAUUCCCACUAAAACCAGAAACGAGUCACUGUUACUCACAAUUUCCAUUCUUAUUCAAGUGUUUUUUGAGAUUAUAACUAUUGCAAUAAGAUAAGAAAUAGUGUAAAAUUGGGAAAAGAUAAAAUUAAUUUAUAUUUACAACUGAUAAUGAUUGUAUUCUUCUAAAAAACAAGGGACUAUUUAAAAAUUAGAAAGUCAAUCAGCAAAUUAGAAAAGGUGGUGGAACAUAAGAAAUAUUUUUUAAAUCAACAGCUUUUCUCUAUUCUAGCAAGUUUUUAGAGUAUUACACUAUAGAGCCCAUGUGUCAACAUUAUUCUUUUAUUUCUUUUGAUUAAAAGAACAUGUAUCACUCGUAAAUGACUAUCAUCUAUCUAUCAAACUCAUCAAACUAGUGCAUAGAAUGAUUGCAUCAAUUGCUAGUUCAACCAAUUGUAUCAGUCUCAAUGUCCCUCUGACACUUAUUUUAUUUUUUAUUACACUAUUAUAUGAUUUACUAUUUUUUCCAUUUGUACCCAAGUUUAUUUUAUAAAUUUAAACUAUUUCACCAUGUUUGAUAAGCAUAUUACUUUAUCUUGUAAGUGUCCACCAAAAUGUCUUAACUCAUAGUGCCUAAACCCUCUAUAUCUGACAAUUCAUUCUAUGCUUCAAAAAGAUCAGUUUCUUAUCUUUGGUUCCAAGCACACAUGAUAAUAUAUAAUAACUGUCUUGUUGGAAGACUGGAAUAGCCAGUAGACUUUCAAACUCUCAAGUACACUGAUUAGAUUACUCACUGUCAUGUGUCCUAGGACAACAUUAAGGUUUUUUUUUUUUUGAAAACUUAAUUUUAAUGUUUAUUUUUUGGGGGUACAUAGUAAGUGUGUAUAUUAUGGGAUAAAUGUAAUGUUUUGAUACAGGCAUGCAAUGUGAAAUAAGCACAUCAUGGAGAAUGAGGCAUCCAUCCCCUCAAGCAUUUAUCCUUUAAGUUACAAGCAAUCCAAUUACACUCUUUGAGUUAUUUUAGAAUGUACAAUUAAGUUAUUAUUGACUAUAGUUGGAAAAACCUAAGAUUGCUUUCAAUGAAGUGUUGUCACAUUCACUUAGGCCACUUAUUAGACUACCUUUUACAAACUGUGACAAUUUUGGUAAGAAUGUCAAGAAUAUGAAAUCCUUGAACAUUGUUGGUGGGAAUGUAAAUUAGUACAGCCAUUUUGGAAAAGAGUAUGGAGGCCCCUCAAAAAACUAAAAUUUUAAUUACCAUAUUAUCCAGCAAUCCCACUUCUGCAUAUAUAUUCAAAGGAAUUGAAAUCAGUGUAUCAAAGAGAUAUCUUCACUCCCAUGUUCAUUGCAGCAUUAUUCACAAUAGCCAAGAUGUGGAAUCAACCUAAGUGUCCAUCAUUGGAUGGAUAAAGAAAAUGUGGCACAUGCAAAUGGAAAUACAAUGGAAACAAUGCAGCCUUUAAAAAGAAGAAAAUUCUAGCCAGCCGGGUGUACUGGCACUGGCCUGUAGUCCUAGCUAAUUCAGAGGCUGGGGUGGGAGGAUCUCUUGAGCCCAGGAGUUCGAUACCAGCAUGGGCAACGUAAUGAGACUCUUAUGUCUUAUGUCUCUUAAAAAAAAAAAAGAAGGAAAAUUUGUCAGUUGCAACAUUUGCAAUAACAUGUUAAUCUAGAAAACAUUGUACUAGGUGAAAUAAGUCAGGCACAAAAAGACAAAUAAUGCAUGAUCUCACUUAUAUGUGGAAUCUUAAAAAGUCGAAUUCAUAGAAGUAGAGUAGAAUGGUAGUUACCACGGGAUGGGGGUAAGGGGAGGCACAAGGAAAGGAGAGAUGUUUCUUAAAGGGCACAAAGUUUCAGUUAGACAAAUGGAUUAAGUUCUAGUAGCCUAUUUCAUUGCAUGGGGACUAUACUUAAUAAUAACAUAUUGUAUAUUCCAAAAUUGCUUAAAAAGUAGAUUUUAAGUGUUCCCACCACAAAAGAUUAGUAUGUUAGGUGUUGUAUGUUAAUAGGCCUGUUUUAAUCAUUCCACAAUGUAUUCAUGUAUCAUAACAUGAUACUGUACUCCAUAAAUACAUACUUUUUAUUAUUCGUCAUUUUUUUAAAAAUAUAAUUUAAAAAAUUAAUCACACUGCUAAAAAAAAGUAUAUUUCUCUUAAACUCUUUUUGAUAGCCAAUUUGAUCAUAUAUGUUAAUAGUCAUAAAACUACCACCCACCGAUGCUCUACCUCUGCUAAAGGAGCAUCUGGGCAGACAAAAUUUAUAAUUGUGUCCAGGGAGAAAUGUGCUGCAUCUCUUGAAUACAAGAAUUGGAUUUCAGCAAUAACUUUAUCCUCACAGUGGAGAUGGAUCCACCAAGUUCUCCUACUUUGAGGGCACCCUGUCAGAAUAAAGUUACCUCUCUGAUAAGGCUUCCUUCACUCCCUUCUCCCCUCUCCCUCCUCUCCCAUCUAUCCCCUAAAGCAUACAUUGCCCAAGCCCUUAGCACAAUACCUGAGAGGGCCCCAGUGGAGAGGGUCAAGCACUGAGCUAUGCCACUCAGAUAAGUAAAUAUUACUUAUCCUGCUAAUACCAUACCCUCGGGGCAGGGCAGAUAAGGGACCCCAGGAUGGUGGUGACACGGCUCUGGCUUAAAAGCAAGAAAGAGCCAUGGUUUAAACAGAAAAACCGGAAAAAAAUCUUCAGCCUGGGAUGCGAUGCAAAAUAAAUGUAAAAAGCUAGCAUUGAAAAUAGUAUGAAUCAUUAUCUAAAAGGCCAUUCUCAAGGGAACUUAGCAAAGAAAUUAAUGAAAGAGAGCCAUAAACAUAAAAUUUGCCUGAACCACAUCAAUUUGCUAAGCCUACACUUGGAAUCUCUUUUGAAAAAAGACAGGUAAAAUGUGAAUUUUUCAAAAAAGAAAAUCCAUUUCCUGAGCCUUGAAAUAUUAUGUAUAUUGGCUGACAAUUUACAACAGAACAACACUCCACUUUUGUAAAAUCGCCUUUGAACAUGUUUGCACUGGGAUAGAUCCACUUAUAUUCCUAAAACUGUUAGAUGAGAACAAAACCAAAAUAGCAGGACAUCCUCUGAGUUUCUGGUUUCCUUGGUUUCCCAGAAGCUGCCAUCCUCUCUAAAGAGAAGACACUGCCUCCUCCAUGUGCCAAUGGGCUGCCAUAAUCAGCUACAAUCCUAGAACUCUGCCCCUUCCAAAAGGAUUGAGAGUGACAACCUCCUAUGUGAAAACAUUGGGACAUCAACCUGUGACCUGGCUGCCUGGACCAAGCAGUCACACAUCUAUCUCAUACACCUUUCCCAGACUCCGGGUUAUUCAGUCUAAAUAAGACCGGGUACAGGACAUCAAAAAUUCAUGCAGUGCACAUGUGGCCGUGACAAGUUAAGACUAGUUCCUUCUCAGUCUCUUUUUGUCCAACAAAGGUUCCAAAAAUUCUUGGCAUCCAGUCACACCCAGGGUCAACUUAUGACCAGAGCAAUGACAGUUAUUAUUCUGUAUUAAAUGCCCACUGAUACAUGGCAUGGCGUCAUGGGAAUUGAAGGGUCAGAGAAGCCCAGAGAGGCUACCACCAAUGAUCUCCCAGAAGGAUAAAAUAAAGAAAAGUAGGAGGAAGGAAGUGGAAAGAAGAAUGAGAAGGAACAAAGGAAUGGGGAAAGGAGCAGAUGGGUGCUAGUCAGGCCUAUACCUGCCUCACUGGGGAUUUUUACUACUCGAGUUAGCCUCAUUUUCACCCCAGGUGUAAAAGUCGCUCCGCAUCUCAAGUUCAACAUGGCUUGAUCUGGAUUUUUGUUAGAUGUUCAAGCUACAUAUCUGGGUCAAGGCACAAGUUUGUACUCAUCAACUCUAUUUUUUCAAGUAUUAUAUCUCCAAUGAAUAUUAUUCUUUUUUUGAGGAAAAAAGUUUUAAAUCAGGCACUGAAAAUUUUUCAAUAGUAUGAUCCAAUUUUAUGUAAAGAAUAUAUAAGUAUAUGAAUAGUAAAAGUGUCUGGAAGGGUAUACAUUGUUUCAAUUCUGUGCUUCUCU